UGCCAGCAGCCGCGGUAAUACGUAGGGAGCGAGCGUUGUCCGGAAUUACUGGGCGUAAAGGGCGCGUAGGCGGUCUGUUAAGUCAAAUGUGAAAUACACUGGCUCAACCAGUGGGCUGCGUUUGAAACUGGCAGACUUGAGUGCAGGAGAGGAGAGUGGAAUUCCUGGUGUAGCGGUGAAAUGCGUAGAUAUCAGGAAGAACACCGGUGGCGAAGGCGGCUCUCUGGCCUGCAACUGACGCUGAGGCGCGAAAGCGUGGGUAGCGAACGGGAUUAGAUA
rnacentral:rRNA from 1 species